rnacentral:siRNA from 1 species
AUAGUUUAUGGCUCGAAAAUCAGC